GCGGAGCCAGAGAGCAGUGAUUGGUCAGACCAUAGAUAAUAUAGAAGACAGCGCCCUGGCGUAUCUAGUCUAUGUGUAUCUAUGGUCGGCACGUCUGGUAGCAUCUCUGGCUGCUGUUGAUCUUGUUUUUGGAGUAAAACACGGUGGAAGCUGAAUUAGUGAGGAUGACUCCUGCUCCUGUCAUCUCUAAGCUCCUCACACAUCUUUACCUGCACAUGAGGAAAAUCACUCCUGUAGAAUGCAGAUGUUCAGAUGGAGAUGAUGCCACAUCUGGUCCAGCUGAUGGAAGGUCUUGAAGUUCUCUGACUGGCCUCGACUGAAGAUGGUCGUCUCACUGGAUUUAAGGUUCAGAUGCUCAGUAACAAACUCCACCAAUGUGCCAACAGGGAAGCUUUAGGUUUAUUAAAUGUUGCUAUGAAGGUAUCGCUGUUUUUCUUUGUGAAUGCAAUGUGCUCCAACUGAAACUUGAAUUAGAACUUAGAAGUAAAUCCUUCCAUCUGAAAGGAUUUAGUUGCAUUAAUAACCUCAUAACAUUCUAAUUUUUAUUCCAGUCUUGGUUGGAAAUAGAAUCUCUGUAUUGAUUCAGGUAAGAACUGAACUUCACAGCAUGUUGGAGCAAAACAACCAGAUGAAAACUGUGAUGGUGUUGGAUUGUCAGACCGUAAUGUUGCAGCGCAAAGCAGCUUUUCUAGCUCAGUUCAUUCUGACAUUCAGCUAUGAAUCAACACAGCAGAUGGUGAUCCAUGCUGUGGAAGUCUCACAUCUCCUGAUUUAAUGGAGCUGCUUUGCACUUUUUACACUGUUUAUUCACCAACACUUUAUUUAAUAAAAGUCCCAUCUAGUUUUUAUGAGGAAUGUGGUGUUUUAAUUUCUCUGUGAAUAACUGCAGUCUAAUGCAACAGCUGGAGUUGUAACAUCUGUCCUGAUAUUGAUCAUGAAGUAUUGAUCAGAAUACUUAUGGUUAGCAGUCAUCCCUGAAGUUUUACAUUAAAAUCUUUACUUGUGUUGUGAACUUUGGUAAGAAACAGAAAUGUUAGCGUUGCCAUGGAUACAUGAGUGUUAAAUUCUGUCCAUGUUUCCAUUUUGGGAAAUGCAGUCCAGUUCCAGAAUGUGGAGGAAUUUAGUCUCACAAUCACAGACAACAAAUAUUAUCUGAAAGUCGGGUUAUUGUUGUUUAUCAGCACAAUACAAAGAUUGUUAGAAAUAUUCCAGUUAAGACUCUAGAAUAUCAUGAUUUAUGUAAAUUUACCUCAGUAAUAUGAAUGUUCAGGUUAAGAUUGUACAGUGAUAUUUAUUAUGCAAGUUUAGCUGAUUAAAGUUUAUGACUCUGCACUAAAAUAUUACUUAAAUUGACAUCAUUAUUAUAAUAUUUAGGGUCAGACCCUACAGUAUUGAGAUUAAGAAAUCAAAUAUUCUAUAAAAUGUAAAUACACUGAACUCAUUUGGAUAUAUUUAAGUGAGACUCUACAAUAUUAUUUGACACAAAUCUGUCUAAAUCAAAAUUUUAAUAAUUUUCACGCCAAACAUUUACUGGACUGAUUUAAAUAUUAAAAUCACUCCUUUCUAAUCCUCUGCUGUACGUUCAAACCUGAGGCCUUAAAUAGAAACACACAAGUAUCUGAUGGAAGGAACUUCUGCAGAGUCCUGGUUCCAGAACAUGAUGAUAGAAUUAUAGACAAACUUUAACAAAAGCUGCCUGAGAGUUUACAGGUUUUUAUGUUGGAUUUCUUCAGUAAUUUAAUGAGUUAUCAGCAAUAAUCAAGUGUUUAUUUGAUGAACUUCAUUUCCUAAAACAUCCAGAAUUGGAGCUCAUAUCUUUGGCAGCUGUAAAGUUUCUGCUCCUUCAAAGUUCACAACACAAUGAAUGAAUUCCUAAAACACUCUCAAUGCUGGAGAGCGUUUGUGAUGCUGAAGCAGUGAUCAGUUUUUCUGUUUCUUCUCUGGAGAUGCACAAUGAGGGACGUCUGCAGCGACUGAGAAAGAGUCUCACCACAUCCUGACAUGAGGAAAAAGACUUUAUUGAAGACUACAAUGAGAAAAACUAUCAGACAGCAGACGGCUGCAUUCAAGCUGAGCUCUGAACAUUUGAUCUGGAACAGGAAUUCAAUAACGGCAGCAUGAGCUUCAUUUCAGUCUGUAGCUGCUGAAUUCAUGGAUGAAUCAUCUGGCACUAGAGAAGAAGACCAUCAAACAUCCAUGUCAGCUGAUGGAGGUCCAAGAGUCUCACCAAAAAAACAACCUACAGAGUGAAGACCUUGAAUCUGAUUGGACGGCCUCCUAUUCAGCCACAUUUUAGGCUGUUAGAUUGUUCUAGAUAAGACAAGUACAAGAUUCUUCAGAGCCGUUCUACCACGAGCCUGACAGGAAGAACUCCAACAGUUACUGAAUGUUCCUGUGGUCCCCUCAAGGCUACAGGAGGAGCCCUAUGAGGAUGAGCUGGUCCACCUGAUGGAGGCCAGUCGCUGUGGUUCAAAGCCAACACCGACUACGUGGACUUCUACUGGACCACAUGGAGACCUUCAAACCGGACCAACAAGUUCAGCGACUCCCCGACUCGUGGGUCUGAGGAUGCCGCCGAGCCUCGGUCCAGCCGGCCUCCUGUCUGUGGGUGUUUGAGUGCUGAGAGGUUUGUGGAUGCAUGUGAACGUUCUGUGUUGAAACAGCAGCUUUGGACUCAGUAACGCCGGGAAAAACCAAGAGCUCCUUUAUUUGUGACUUCCACUAAAAAACUGAUGAAAAUAAGUUUGCCAGGGUUCUGACUGAUAACAGUUUAUUAAAUAAUGAAAAUAACAGUUUAAAUAUUCCUUUAAACAAUCCUUUUAGGUUUACAUUUCCUUUACACUGACUUCUUGGAAUAUGCACAAGUAUUUUGAGUGGAAUAUACCAUUAAGCCCAAUGUUCAAGGGUUCUUCUGGGAAUAUACCAUUAAACCAACCUUUUAGGUAAAUGUUGCAGGAUGUUGAGUAGAAUAUACCAUCAGAUCAACCUUUUAGGUCUACAUUGUAAGAUUUUAGAGUAGAAUAUUACUCCAAACCAUCCUUUAGGUCUACAUUUAAGGAUUUAAGGACAUUCAAAUAUUUAAGGUGGAAUAUUCCUUUAAACCAACCUAAAUUUCAUGUUUUGAUCAUUAUCAAGUGAGAAACCUCAAUCCAGACUCCUCAUAAUCACGUUUGAGAUUUAUGCUGCUGUUAUUUGUUUAGUCCAGACUAAAUGACAGAAAUCCACAACUGUAAUUUUAUUUCAGGACUUGGUUAUUGAAUGUCAGAACAAUCCAUGUGACUCUAAAAACUCAACAGCUGUACAAACUCUAAGAUUAAAUUCUCCACAAGGAUCCAAAAUAAGUUGGACUUCUACAUGAGCGCUUUAAUUAUUCUUCAUCUACUUCCUGAAAAGUUUGGUCAAUAAAAAAGACAAAAACUAAUAUUUUCAGCUGAACUAAAGACAGACUUUGUGAUUUUUCUGCUCACAUGUUGUGUUGUUGUAAACUUACUCUUUCAAAUAAAUACCUGCCUAACCCCCUGGAAA